rnacentral:lncRNA from 1 species
UGUGAUUUUACAGCAUUCCACUGUUAUUUUAAUGUACAUUUUUUACAGUGUGUGCUUCAGAAGAGCGGAGCCUCCUGAAAACAGGCCGAGCAGGCGGGCGAGACUUGGCCAGGCGCUUCCUUCAGGUUGGUGAAAGUCUCGACCUACACGGGGAGUCUAUGUCUACUGCCACCAGGCUGAGCAGGGUGUGUGGACCUUCUUCAGAUCAUUAUCAUUGUAGGUUGUUUUCUCAGUCGCUGAUUUAACUGCUGCAUAUUACAAACAGUGGUCCAAAGAGAAAAACAUCUAUGACAAGACUGCUGACAUCAUCCCUGGUGCUAAACCAAUGAUGACUGGAGUUGUCGGAGAAGUCAGAGAAAAUCUGCCCUGAGAGUAAAGGGUAUUCUUAUCCUUCACUGAAACCUCAGGGUUUUCUGGAGCUUGAGACAUUACAGAGAGCAGAGGAUAUUCCAGGCGUUGAGAAACUCCAUUGUGACUCCCAGGAUGCAGUAGAUCAGCCAGAGAUCCUUACCUCCUGUGCCCUCAGCAAGACCAUGCAGGACCUGCUGCUGGACCUUCAACACACGUGUCACUCUCCAGAGGAAGAAGACAGUCUCCUGGGCCAUCUCUGCAGGCCAAACAUGGAGUCUGACAUGGUCAUUCCUACACGCUGCCAAUAUUAACAGUUCCAGAUCCCAAAAACUAUCUCCCCCUCUCCAAGGUCCAGCCCCAGCCCAAUCCAAUUGAGAACUCACAUGACCGGUCACCAGGCAAGGUUAGGGGCAUGUCAGCCAGAGAGACGGUGUCGUUCAGGAGCGCCCCCGACCGAACGGGCCAGAGCAAGCUGGGUAGCUGGUGGAAGGAGGGCAUGGAGACCUGCCGGGCCUCCACAGGCCUGCUGUCCAACAUUGAGCAAGUGGCACAAAUCCCACAAGGGCGGUCAUGCUCACACAGUGCUGUGACCUUUCUGGAGUUUCUGUUCAAGCAGUGUGGGGACAGGCGAGAAGUCAAGAUCACUGGUUUUAGAUGCCAUUAUCAUCUGGUUUGUAUAAAACCAGAUGUAAGUGCUGUAUAUUGAAAUGUAAGUGCUGUGUAUUGAAAUAAACCAGGUUUACUCAUUUAUUUCUGAAAGUGA